rnacentral:misc_RNA from 1 species
CACCUUCAAUAGUCUGGG